rnacentral:rRNA from 1 species
UACGAAGGGGGCUAGCGUUGCUCGGAAUCACUGGGCGUAAAGGGUGCGUAGGCGGGUCUUUAAGUCAGGGGUGAAAUCCUGGAGCUCAACUCCAGAACUGCCUUUGAUACUGGAGAUCUUGAGUUCGGGAGAGGUGAGUGGAACUGCGAGUGUAGAGGUGAAAUUCGUAGAUAUUCGCAAGAACACCAGUGGCGAAGGCGGCUCACUGGCCCGAUACUGACGCUGAGGCACGAAAGCGUGGGGAGCAAACAGG